UACGAAGGGUGCAAACGUUGAUCGGAAUUAUUGGGCGUAAAGCGCACGUAGGCGGCUUGGCAAGUCGGAUGUGAAAUCCCUCGGCUCAACCAAGGAAGUGCAUCCGAAACUGCUGAGCUUGAGUACUUAAGAGGAUCGCGGAAUUCCCGGUGUAGAGUUGAAAUUCGUAGAUAUCGGGAGGAACACCAGUGGCGAAGGCGGCGAUCUGGGAAGAUACUGACGCUGAGGUGCGAAAGCGUGGGGAGCAAACAGG
rnacentral:rRNA from 1 species